rnacentral:rRNA from 1 species
UGGGUAACCUGCCUCAAAGAGGGGAAUAGCCUCCCGAAAGGGAGAUUAAUACCGCAUAAUAUGUUUAGGUCGCAUGACUUUAACAUCAAAGGAUUUCUUUUAGAAAUUCCACUUUGAGAUGGACCCGCGGCGCAUUAGCUAGUUGGUGAGGUAACGGCUCACCAAGGCAACGAUGCGUAGCCGACCUGAGAGGGUGAUCGGCCACAUUGGAACUGAGACACGGUCCAGCUCCUAGG